rnacentral:rRNA from 1 species
CGAUACUAGCUUGCUAGUAGGCGUCGAGUGGCGGACGGGUGAGUAACGCGUAGGAAUCUACCUGAUAGUGGGGGAUAGCCCGAAGAAAUUCGGAUUAAUACCGCAUAAUCUAUUCGUAGUAAAGUGGGGGACUUUCGAGCCUCACGCUAUCAGAUGAGCCUGCGUAAGAUUAGCUAGUUGGUAGGGUAAAAGCCUACCAAGGCGACGAUCUUUAGCUGGUCUGAGAGGAUGAUCAGCCACAUCGGGACUGAGACACGGCCCGAACUCCUACGGGAGGCAGCAGUGGGGAAUAUUGGACAAUGGGGGCAACCCUGAUCCAGCAAUACCGCGUGUGUGAAGAAGGCCUGAGGGUUGUAAAGCACUUUCAAUUGUGAAGAAAAGCUAGUGGUUAAUAGCCAUUAGCCUUGACGUUAACUUUAGAAGAAGCACCGGCUAACUCCGUGCCAGCAGCCGCGGUAAUACGGAGGGUGCAAGCGUUAAUCGGAAUUACUGGGCGUAAAGCGUGCGUAGG